ACGCUCGACACCUACGAGAGGCAGCAGUGGGGAAUAUUGCACAAUGGGGGAAACCCUGAUGCAGCGACGCCGCGUGGAGGAAGAAGGUCUUCGGAUUGUAAACUCCUGUUGUUGGGGAAAAGAGGAUGGUACCCAACAAGGAAGUGACGGCUAACUACGUGCCAUCAGCCACGGUAAUCUGAGCGGGCUGGCAAGGC
rnacentral:rRNA from 1 species